UACGUAGGGUGCAAGCGUUGUCCGGAAUUAUUGGGCGUAAAGAGCUCGUAGGCGGUCUGUCGCGUCGGCUGUGAAAACUCGGGGCUCAACUCCGAGCUUGCAGUCGAUACGGGCAGGCUAGAGUUCGGCAGGGGAGACUGGAAUUCCUGGUGUAGCGGUGAAAUGCGCAGAUAUCAGGAGGAACACCGGUGGCGAAGGCGGGUCUCUGGACAUUUCCUGACGCUGAGGCACGAAAGCCAGGGGAGCAAACAGG
rnacentral:rRNA from 1 species